rnacentral:tRNA from 1 species
GCCUGGGUGGCUCAGUCGGUUGAGCGUCUGACUUUGGCUCAGGUCAUGAUCUUGCAGUUCAUGAGUUCAAGCCCCACAUCAGGCU